GCUUUCCCCGGAACAGGAGCUUAUCGGGGCCGUCCUACCGGAGCCAUUGCUACACCCGAAACGAGAAACAAAUUAUUCUCGAUCGGUUGGCUGCUGGCUACUACUACUCGGCUGAUUCCGUCGAGCACAUACGCUUCUCCAUCUCUCGCCUCUCUCUCUCUCUCUCUCUCUCUAUCUCUAUCUCUCUCUCUGCACGCGCGGACGCCAUGGACAAAGCUCCGGCGGCAGCAGCAGCCAACAAGGUUGGCAAUCCUCCGGCGGCAGCAGCAGCCAACAACCUUGCCAAUCCUCCGGCGGUUGCGGUGGUGGUGAAUGUGGUCGUCAAUCCACCAGCGAAUGUGGUCGUCAAUCCACCAGCAGAGGCGGCGCCGCCAGCGUGUGGAGCUGCGGACGUUCUGCUGCUGAUAUGUUUGCUCGGCAUUUUGGCGGUGAGCGUGUAUUGGAUCGUGCUGGCGUGCCUCGCAAAGUAGAAAACUAUGUCACGCCUGGGGAAGAAUGCAGGAGUGCGCCACCCGAUGAGGACGAGCGUAAAUAAGGUGGCGCAAGUGUGGGUUAAGUUAAAGCUAUCGUGCGUCGCGUACUAGCGUGUGUGUGUGGAGCUUAAUUAUAAGCUUUGUGCUGUAAAACUGAAAAACAACACUCUUCUAGUACGUCUGAAGAAUAA